rnacentral:rRNA from 1 species
AGUGAACGCUGGCGGUAGGCCUAACACAUGCAAGUCGAACGGCAGCACAGUAAGAGCUUGCUCUUACGGGUGGCGAGUGGCGGACGGGUGAGGAAUACAUCGGAAUCUACUUUUUCGUGGGGGAUAACGUAGGGAAACUUACGCUAAUACCGCAUACGACCUACGGGUGAAAGCAGGGGAUCUUCGGACCUUGCGCGAUUGAAUGAGCCGAUGUCGGAUUAGCUAGUUGGCGGGGUAAAGGCCCACCAAGGCGACGAUCCGUAGCUGGUCUGAGAGGAUGAUCGGCCACACUGGAACUGGGACCGGGUCCAGACUCCUACGGGAGGCGCCAGUGGGGAAUUUUGGACAAUGGGCGCAAGCCUGAUCCAGCCAGACCGCGUGGGUGAAAAAGGCCUUCGGGUUGUAAAGCCCUUUUGUUGGGAAGGAAAAGCAGCAGGUUAAUACCCCGCUGUUCCGACGGUACCCAAAGAAUAAGCACCGGCUAACUACGUG